AUGCUGCUGUUGCUCUCUGCCUGUCUUUCUGUUGUCCUUUCACUGAACAGUUAUGAUGAAGAAACAUAUGGGAACACACAUAAGAUGAGGAUAGAAAGAAAGACUCAGUCCAUUGAGUUCAUGCCCAAAUACAGCUCGAAGCAUGUGGUCCUGUGGAGACAGGAGGACCCUGAACCCAGUGAGGACAGCAGGAGGAAGAUGAUUGGCUACUACUAUCUGAUAUACAAUGUGACCCAGAGGGACAGUGGGAGCUACGUCUUGAGGGACAAAAAUGGGAUGUCUCUGUCAACAAAAACCAUCGAGGUCAUUGCUAAGACACAGGCCCUUGAGCUGAUCCCUGGUGAAAAACUCCGCUUCACUUCAGACCUGGAGUCGAACUCCUGCAACAUUUAUUUCAUCCCAGAAGGAGGUCGUGAGACGGAACUAGUUCAUCAGGGAAAACUGCUUCAGGGUUCGUCUUACUGCCCCGGGUUUGAGCUUCUAAAGCCCUGUGGGAUCUCAAACGAGGCUGUCCAGACGUCCUGCAAAGGACUGUUUGAAGUGAAGGAUCAUAACGGUGACACCUCCUUGGAGUUGUCGCUGAAAGUGGAAUCUUUGUGGUUUACCUCCUCUGCCUUCAUUCCCAUUGGAAGUGCUGUCGUCCUUUCUGUUUUGUUCUGGUGCAUGAAGAGCUGUUGCUGUGGAAACAGCUCCACAGCAAAGAACCCUUCAGAGCCUGAAGCUGCAGCUGAUGAUGAUGAUGGUGGACCUGCUGUUUAUUACCAGGAGUAUGACCACGAGCCUGUCGGAGGGAGGCCAACCCAUCCCACCAAGCCCACAGAGACUGCCUACCCGGUUCAGCCGAAUGAUGCGCCCACCAGCCUGCUGAUACACAAUCCUCCUACUAUGAAUCUACUUCCUGCUGAUUCAGAGGUUUCGGCUCCAGCAGAGCGGCUAGACCCACCAGCUGUUCCUCCAGGCUUGGACUACGAGCCUCGGUUCGAAGUGAAAGGAAUGAGCACAGAUUCCCUGCUGCACUCCGACUCUCCUCACUGUGAUGUUUACAACUCAGACAAACUCAACUUCCUCUGA
rnacentral:lncRNA from 1 species